rnacentral:rRNA from 1 species
UGAGCAACCUGCCCUUGACUCUGGAAUAACAGCUGGAAACAGCUGCUAAUACCGGAUACGACCUCCGAUGGCAUCAUCUGGAGGUGGAAAGCUCCGACGGUCAAGGAUGGGCUCGCGGCCUAUCAGCUUGUUGGUGAGGUAACGGCUCACCAAGGCUUCGACGGGUAGCCGGCUGAGAGGGCGACCGGCCACACUGGGACUGAGAUACGGCACAGAUCCGUAACGGGG